CAUGCAAGUCGAGGGGCAGCAUGAUUGAAGCUUGCUUCAAUUGAUGGCGACCGGCGCACGGGUGAGUAACGCGUAUCCAACCUUCCGUACACUCAGGGAUAGCCUUUCGAAAGAAAGAUUAAUACCUGAUGGUAUGAUGAGAUUGCAUGAUAGCAUCAUUAAAGAUUUAUCGGUGUACGAUGGGGAUGCGUUCCAUUAGGUAGUAGGCGGGGUAAUGGCCCACCUAGCCGACGAUGGAUAGGGGUUCUGAGAGGAAGGUCCCCCACAUUGGAACUGAGACACGGUCCAAACUCCUACGGGAGGCAGCAGUGAGGAAUAUUGGUCAAUGGACGAGAGUCUGAACCAGCCAAGUAGCGUGAAGGAUGAAGGUCCUACGGAUUGUAAACUUCUUUUAUAAGGGAAUAAAACCUCCCACGUGUGGGAGCUUGUAUGUACCUUAUGAAUAAGCAUCGGCUAACUCCGUGCCAGCAGCCGCGGUAAUACGGAGGAUGCGAGCGUUAUCCGGAUUUAUUGGGUUUAAAGGGAGCGCAGACGGGUCGUUAAGUCAGCUGUGGAAGUUUGGGGCUCAACCUUAAAAUUGCAGUUGAUACUGGCGUCCUUGAGUGCGGUUGAGGUGUGCGGAAUUCGUGGUGUAGCGGUGAAAUGCUUAGAUAUCACGAAGAACUCCGAUUGCGAAGGCAGCACACUAAGCCGUAACUGACGUUCAUGCUCGAAAGUGUGGGUAUCAAACAGGAUUAGAUACCCUGGUAGUCCACACGGUAAACGAUGGAUACUCGCUGUUGGCGAUAUACAGUCAGCGGCUUAGCGAAAGCGUUAAGUAUCCCACCUGGGGAGUACGCCGGCAACGGUGAA
rnacentral:rRNA from 1 species